rnacentral:rRNA from 1 species
AGCGAACGUUAGCGGCGCGCCUAACACAUGCAAGUCGCACGAGAAACGGAGCAAUCCGCGGUACAGUGGCGCACGGGUGAGUAACACGUGGAUGACCUUCCCUGGAGUGGUGGAUAACCUGCCGAAAGGCGGGCUAAUACAGCAUGGGACCACGACGCUUUGGCGAUGUAGGUGAAAGCGGGCCUCUAUAUAUAAGCUCGCGCUCCGGGACGGGUCCGCGUCCCAUCAGCUAGUUGGUGAGGUAACGGCUCACCAAGGCAACGACGGGUAGCUGGUCUGAGAGGAUGGCCAGCCACACUGGAACUGAGACACGGUCCAGACUCCUACGGGAGGCAGCAGUGGGGGAAUCUUGCGCAAUGGGCGAAAGCCUGACGCAGCGACGCCGCGU